rnacentral:misc_RNA from 1 species
UGUGGGAGCGAGCCUGCUCGCGAUGGCGCCGGGUCAGCCACAUCCAUCUCAACUGAUACGCCGCCAUCGCGAGCAGGCUCGCUCCCACA